UACGUAGGGUGCGAGCGUUGUCCGGAAUUAUUGGGCGUAAAGGGCUCGUAGGCGGUUUGUCGCGUCGGGAGUGAAAACCUCGGGCUUAACUCGGGGCUUGCUUUCGAUACGGGCAGACUGGAGGUAGGCAGGGGAGAGCGGAACUCCUGGUGUAGCGGUGGAAUGCGCAGAUAUCAGGAAGAACACCGGUGGCGAAGGCGGCUCUCUGGGCCUUACCUGACGCUGAGGAGCGAAAGCGUGGGUAGCGAACAGG
rnacentral:rRNA from 1 species